rnacentral:rRNA from 1 species
UACGAAGGGGGCUAGCGUUGUUCGGAAUUACUGGGCGUAAAGCGCGUGUAGGCGGGCCGUUAAGUCGGGGGUGAAAGCCCAGAGCUCAACUCUGGAACUGCCUUCGAUACUGGCGGCCUGGAGCAUGAUAGAGGCGAGUGGAAUUGAAAGUGUAGAGGUGAAAUUCGUAGAUAUUCGCAGGAACACCAGUGGCGAAGGCGACUCGCUGGAUCAUUGCUGACGCUGAGACGCGAAAGCGUGGGAGCAAACAGU